UGGAAAAUCAAACAUACAAUAAGGCAUAAAUAAAUAAAUUAGCAAUCAAAAUAAAACCUGGAUUACGAAAUGAGAACUGGAACUGAAUCUUGAUUCUUCAAUUAAAAUAAUGUCGGCAGGCUUUGGCAAAGAGUAACCGUUACAAUUGAAUUCAAAUGCGUAAAAUAAAUUGCAAUAGUCCCCGAUGUGGAGAACUAUUACUUUUACAAAGUAAGAAAAACUGCUUAGGAAACUAACCAAAAAAUAAUCUGACUAAAAUUAAGCGUGUAAUUGAAAAGGGAACUGAC
rnacentral:lncRNA from 1 species